CCUGCCCCUUGAGGUGUUGCUGUCCGACUGCAUGUUGAGCCUGUGUCAUGAGGGGUGGAGAGUAACAGGGCUAUGUCUACGCCGAGGACUCAGAACAGUGGGUGCUUGGAGUGGUUGAUAGAACCGACAUC